GAUGAACGCUGGCGGCGUGCCUAAUACAUGCAAGUCGAGCGAACAGACGAGGAGCUUGCUCCUCUGACGUUAGCGGCGGACGGGUGAGUAACACGUGGAUAACCUACCUAUAAGACUGGGAUAACUUCGGGAAACCGGAGCUAAUACCGGAUAAUAUAUUGAACCGCAUGGUUCAAUAGUGAAAGACGGUUUUGCUGUCACUUAUAGAUGGAUCCGCGCCGCAUUAGCUAGUUGGUAAGGUAACGGCUUACCAAGGCAACGAUGCGUAGCCGACCUGAGAGGGUGAUCGGCCACCCUGGAACUGAGACACGGUCCAGACUCCUACGGGAGGCAGCAGUAGGGAAUCUGCCGCAAGGGGCGAAAGCCUGACGGAGCAACGCCGCGUGAGUGAUGAAGGUCUUCGGAUCGUAAAACUCUGUUAUUAGGGAAGAACAAAUGUGUAAGUAACUAUGCACAUCUUGACGGUACCUAAUCAGAAAGCCACGGCUAACUACGUG
rnacentral:rRNA from 1 species